GACUGGAUAGCCUAGUGGUUACAGGCAGCACAUCUAGAACAUGCUGAGGUCCCAGGUUCAAAGCCUGGUCUGGUCA
rnacentral:tRNA from 1 species